rnacentral:lncRNA from 1 species
GUGAGAAAGGCCUCUGAGAACUGGAACUCACGUUGGGCCUCAACUACAGAGGGAAGAAGAGGAGGGACACCAGAAGUAGCAUGAACAGUAUGUAUAAAGGUCUAAGAACAGGAAGUAAGCCUGUUCUGCCCAAAAUAGAGAGCCAGGAAAUGGUAUGGGCACACGGUGCUCCCAGGGGGCUGUAACUGACUGUGUAGCCUGCCUUUCCUCCUGUGGGAAGCUCUCUUGAGAGCACUUCAGGAUGCAAGACAUCGGGCAACCAAGCAGCUGUGCUUCACAGUUGGACCACACCAAGCUUCUGCCUAUGCAGCCAUAAUUGAUGUUAUAAUCAGGAAAAGCAUUACAGGGAGGGGACAGCAAAUUUCCCGUGAAAAGGAGAUGGCUGGGUUGCUGACACAGGCUACAUCAUUGCAGAACCCUGAGAGCAGGGAAGAUGCAGACAGGUUCAUGAAUUUGAACAAUUGGUUGCCAGUUGGUGGCGCUGUUUGGAGAGGCUGUAAAGCCUUUAGGAGAUGGAGCCUUGAAGGAGGAAGUCAGUCACUGAAGCAGGCUCCGGGAGUUCCUAUCCUUGGCCCACUUCAGUUCCGUUUCUUCUUUCUGUUAGCUGUUCUUCAAUGUGUGAUAGAUAUCCAAGAUGUGCAAGCUAAGCUUCAUGUUCCAGCCACCAACUGCCAUGCCUCUGCUGCCAUUACAGACUCCUACCCCUGGAACUGUAGCCAAAAUAAACACCUCCAUAAUUUGCUCCUGGCCACAGUAUUUUAUUACAGCAACAGAAAAGCAAUUAAGACAGUAAAUAAAAAUAAAAAAGUAUAAAUAAAAAAAAACUGGAUCUAAAAGUGGAGUUAUUAUAACCACACCUAACAUUGCAGUUUUUAAGCCUUUGGAAUUAGUUUUCCAAAAACUCUU